GAAACGGUAUGCGAAUAUCCUGAGCAAUUUCACCACUUUGAUAAGGUGAAUGAGAGAACUAUAUUGAAGGAACUCGGCAAAAUGACUUUGUAACUUCGGGAUAAAAAGUACCUAAUUUUAAAAAUUAGGUGUCACAAAAUAGGGGGUUGCGACUGUUUAAUAAAAACUUAGGACUCUGCUAAAUGGUAACAUGAUGUAUAGGGUCUGACACCUGCCCGGUGCUGGAAGAUUAAAAGGAAAUGUUUACGCAUUAAAUGGAAGUCCCAGUAAACGGCGGCCGUAACUCUGACGGUCCUAAGGUAGCGAAAUUCCUUGUCGGGUAAGUUCCGACCUGCAUGAAUGGUGUAACGACAUCCCCGCUGUCUCCAAUAUAGACUCAGUGAAU
rnacentral:ncRNA from 1 species